UCACGUAUAGGUAUGGCUUUCAACAAGUCUUUUAGAGUCAACAAUGAUUUUGUAUUUUCGUGCGUGGAUCACUGAGAUUUUUCUAUUGUUUGGGGAUGAUAUUUUAUGGGUUAUGGAGCAAUGACAAUAACGACAUGCCAAUAAUUUGAUAGCUGUCUUGAUCUACUCGCUGUGAUUGCUUCUCCAGACCCAUGCCGUGUAAAUCGUUGAAGGUCAAAGAUUCGUGUAAUGAAGUGCAGUGCGGGAGCUUGAAACCGUACAUCACCUCGCUCGCACAUGUAUUACCGUGCGUAGCUAGGUUGAUGCCCGUGGAUGGUUAUUGAAUUUAUUUGCUCAUGCACCUAUUGAUAUUUCUUGCGUCGAAAAGUCACAGGACAAAACAGAAAACUGACGGUGUUCCAGAUGAAACCGACUUGAUUUGAGAUCAAUAUUUUGUAUCGAAAAAGACAUAGGGACGCAGCUGAAACCAGCCUUGGCAUGAGCAUCCCUCGGCUUUCGCCUUGCUCGGCCGGACCUUAACCCGGUACGGCGGUCCGAUUGGGGAGCGAUCAACAUAACCUGCAUCCAUUUAAAUGCCUGCAUCACAUCACACGGAGGCUGCGAGAUGGCGUAGAAGAAUGCAUCUCUAAUGACUAUUUUGUCACUGCGUUACUUUCGGAAAGGAUUCAUCAUCGCGGCUGUGUGGAGAAGCAGGUGCUUUUGCGUUGUGCUUUCUAUAUCAUGCUUGUAUCACAACUCAAAGAACUUUAAGUACUGACCUGACUUUACAACCAUAAUUAUGGAAUGCAUACGAAAUGGACAUGUGGCUCGGGUUAUCUGUAAACACAUUUAUUUCUACCCUCUUAGCCUGAUUUCAAAAACAGGUCGCAGCUCCAGACGAGAUGUGUUGGCAUAAUGCUAGACGUAUGAUGCAUCAAAAUACUCUGCAGCUGCCUGUUUUUUAUAUCUCCUACGUGAUUAUCAAGGUCUGUCUGCAUGGUGGGAUAUGCUUUCUAGUCAUUUAAGUUUCUUCGUAUUUGGUAUCCUGUUUGAAAAAAAAGACCUUGCUGAUAGAUUAUUUUGUUUCUAGUCUAAGAAUUGAAACGGAUGAAAAAGCUCAAUAAUUAUGCAGGCCUAUAAAUAUCAUAUUUGAUAAUGCCUCAAUCUUGCAGUGUAUUCAUUUGCUACUAAGAAAGGUCGUAAAGUUUACGUUUUUUAUCAGUUUUAUAAAAUGAGACUCUUAUCAGUGGUAGAUGUGAAUGUGUUGUUCUUUUUUUUGUGAUUUUCACUUAUACCUUUUAUAUGCUAGUGAAAAUUUUCAAUAUCACAGAGAAAUUCCAAAUUAAUAUG